rnacentral:rRNA from 1 species
UAAAUUUUGCCCACACAUGGGAUCAAUAGGAUACCAUAACGAUGAAGGUCGUAAAAGAAUACGAAAGAGUAUUUACCGAAUUAAUAUAUU